GACGAACGCUGGCGGCGUGCUUAACACAUGCAAGUCGAACGGAAAGGCUCCAGCUUGCUGGAGUACUCGAGUGGCGAACGGGUGAGUAACACGUGGGUAAUCUGCCCUGCACUCUGGGAUAAGCCUGGGAAACUGGGUCUAAUACUUGAUAUGACCUUUCUCUUUAUGGGGUUUGGUGGAAAGUUUUUCGGUGUAGGAUGAGCCCGCGGCCUAUCAGCUUGUUGGUGGGGUGAUGGCCUACCAAGGCGACGACGGGUAGCCGGCCUGAGAGGGUGAUCGGCCACAUUGGGACUGAGAUACGGCCCAGACUGCUACGGGAGGCAGCAGUGGGGAAUAGGGGACAAUGGGCGGAAGCCUGAUGCAGCGACGCAGGGUGAGGGAUGACGGCCUUAGGGUUGUAAACCUCUUUAAGCAGGGACGAAGCGUAAGUGAAGGUAACUGCAGAAGAAGCACCGGCUAACUAUGUG
rnacentral:rRNA from 1 species